UACAAUUUGAUGCCAUUUUUGGAUGCGCCAAAGAUGAAGAUGUCGACAGCAUUAUUGUUGUUGUUGUUGUUGUUCUUGUUGUUGUUAUUUGUUGUUGUGGCUGAAAGUGAAACGUGUAGCUUGUGGGUCCCGUCAAUUGGCCGGCCAAGAAACUAGCUCCAUAAAGAGCGCAACGAGCUAUGGAGGUCAGUGUUCAUCGUGCGAUUCUCGGAAGACAGCGACAUUACGAACUGACUAACUGCUGGCCAUAAAGCACCAAAGUCCAGUUCAACGGCCAACCACAAAAGAAUACAAAAAUGUACAGUUGAAACGGCAGAAAAUGCCGAAACUCUGAAUACCCUAUAAUAAUUCGAUAAUGAAGAUGGAAAACUG